GACGAACGCUGGCGGCGUGCUUAACACAUGCAAGUCGAACGGAAAGGCCCUGCUUUUGUGGGGUGCUCGAGUGGCGACCGGGUGAGUAACACGUGAGUAACCUGCCAUUGACUUUGGGAUAACUUAAGGACACUGGGGCUCAUACCGGAUAGGAGCUCCUGCUGCUUGGUGGGGGUGGGACAGUUUCGGCGGUUGGGGAUGGACUCGCGGCUGAUCAGCUUGUUGGUGGGGUAGUGGCUUACCAAGGCUUUGACGGGUAGCCGGGCUGAGAGGGGGACCGGCCACAUUGGGACUGGGAUACGGCCCAGACUCCUACGGUAGGCAGCAGUGGGGAAUAGUGCACAAUGGGCGGAAGCCUGGUGCAGCAACGCCGCGUGCGGGAUGACGGCCUUCGGGUUGUAAACCGCUUUCGCCUGUGACGAAGCGUGAGUGACGGUAAUGGGUAAAGAAGCACCGGCUAACUACGUG
rnacentral:rRNA from 1 species